AAGGAUUCAUGCUUGUGAUACGUAAGUUGAGUAUUCUCCAAAUAAUUACUUAAACAAAAAAAAAAAGCAAAAGUAAUACUAACUUCUAACUCAUUAACAACUAACAUUUAAUUUCAAGUGUCCAUUUUAAUGCACUUUAUAUUUUAAGCUUUAUUCAUUUUCCAUUAUUCAUACCAACCUAAUUGUUUAUGUUGAUGUCAUUCUCA
rnacentral:lncRNA from 1 species